CCUAAGGUAGCGAAAUUCCUUGUCAGGUAAGUUCUGACCCGCACGAAAGGCGUAACGAUUUGGGCGCUGUCUCAGCUGUAGACUCGGUGAAGUCUUAGUACCUGUGAAGAUGCAGGUUACCCGCGACUAGACGGAAAGACCCCAUGGAGCUUCACUGCAGGUUGAUAUUGGGAUUUGAUGCAGCAUGUACAGGAUAGGUAGGAGGCUAGGAGAUGGAUACGCCAGUAUUCAAGGAGCCGCUGUUGGGAUACUACCCCUGUUGUAUUGGAUUUCUAACCGGACGACGUAGAGCCGUUGACGGGACAGUGUCAGUCGGGCAGUUUGACUGGGGCGGUCGCCUCCCAAAGAGUAACGGAGGCGCCCAAAGAUACCCUCAGCUUGGAUGGAAACCAAGCGCAGAGUGCAAAGGCAAAAGGGUGUUUGACUGCGAGACCCACAAGUCGAGCAGGGACGAAAGUCGGGCUUAGUGAUCCGGCGGUGCUGAAUGGAAAGGCCGUCGCUCAACGGAUAAAAGCUACCCUGGGGAUAACAGGCUGAUCUCCCCCAAGAGUCCACAUCGACGGGGAGGUUUGGCACCUCGAUGUCGGCUCAUCGCAUCCUGGAGCUGAAGUCGGUUCCAAGGGUUGGGCUGUUCGCCCAUUAAAGCGGUACGCGAGCUGGGUUCAGAACGUCGUGAGACAGUUCGGUCCCUAUCUGUCGUGGGCGCAGGAAAUUUGAGAAGAGCUGUCCUCAGUACGAGAGGACCGGGAUGGACGCAUCAAUGGUGGACCAGUUGUCACGCCAGUGGCAUAGCUGGGUAGCUAAAUGCGGAAGGGAUAAACGCUGAAGGCAUCUAAGUGUGAAACCCACUUCAAGAUGAGAUUUCCCAUUGCGCAAGCAAGUAAGACCCCUUAAAGACGAUAAGGUAGAUAGGUCAGGAGUGUAAGCAUGGUGACAUGUUAAGCGGACUGAUACUAAUAGGUCGAGGGCUUGACCGA
rnacentral:rRNA from 1 species